AAGGGUAGGCCAGGGUUAUCUCCAGAGUGAAGGGUAGGACAGGGUUAUCUCCAGAGUGAAGGGUAUGACAGGGUUUCUCCAGAGUGAAGGGUAGGACAGGGUUUACUCCAGAGUGAAGGGUAGGACAGGGUUAUCUCCAGAGUGAAGGGUAGGACAGGGUUUCUCCAGAGUGAAGGGUAGACCAGGGUUUCUCCAGAGUGAAGGGUAGGACAGGGUUAUCUCCAGAGUGAAGGGUAGGCCAGGGUUAUCUUCAGAGUGAAGGGUAGGACAGGGUUUCUCCAGAGUGAAGGGUAGGCCAGGGUUUACUCCAGAGUGAAGGGUAGGCCAGGGUUAUCUCCAGAGUGAAGGGUAGGACAGGGUUUACUCCAGAGUGAAGGGUAGGACAGGGUUUACUCCAGAGUGAAGGGUAGGACAGGGUUAUCUCCAGUGUGAAGGGUAGGCCAGGGUUAUCUCCAGUGUGAAGGGUAGGCCAGGGUUAUCUCCAGUGUGAAGG
ensembl:lncRNA